CAUGGGGCAGGGUCCUCUUUCUGCCAGAAGGUUACCAAGGGGGUGGGGGGCAAAUGAGGGAGUGGCUAGGAUGAGGACUCAGCUCCCACAACUCCCUGCCUGAUUCCAUCCCCUCGGGAACACUGAGGUGUUCCCCCCGCCCCCACUGAGCCCCCUCUCCCAAGACUGAAGCGAGACAGCCCCCCACAGCAGUGGGCCUGUUCCUCUCCCUGGAAGACAACCCAGGAGCCAGCCCAGCCCUUCGUUUUCGGAAAAGGGCAGGGAGGGCCUCAGAAGGGAGCCUGGCUUCCCGCGAGUGCUCCUGUCAAUCUGUGCCCCCACACCACCCUGGGCUGGUGCCGGGACACCGGACCCCGACCCCGGGCUCAGCCAGCGGCCCGGAGAGAAGAGGCAAAAGGGGGACUGAGGGAGGAGUCUGUGCUUCCCCAGCUGCCGCUGGCAGGAGGAAAGAACUGGGCAGGCGCAGGCCCGAGGCCUGGCGAGUCACGCGACAAGUCGCAGAGGGCCUCACGACGGGCCCGUGCGUCACAGCACACACGUGCGCACACACCCAGGCACACACGCAAGCACACACGCGUGUGAGAAGCUUGGGAACAAGGCCCCCUCCCGGCUGCCCCUGCCCCACCACACCCCUUCCUGCCUCCUUUGCCCAAUUCCAGCUCCGACUGACCAGCUACUUCUGAAGGGAGAAGAAAAGGAGAGCCCUUGGGUGUGCUGGGGAGGGGACAAACCCGAGGGCCCAUCUUGCUCUCUGCCGAGCGGAUAACUGAGAGCGGGAGCCUGUGUCUGGGCAGCGGGAAAGCAGGAGCGCCUCCCCGCCCUUCUGCCUCGCUUUCCCCCAGUUCCUACCCCUGCCCAUCCACAUGGCCCAUCUCUGUAGAUGCACUUCUGGAAAACGCCAGGCAAAGGGACAUCGGGUCAGACCCUUCUCUUCCGGCUUCGAGAGCAAAGCCCCAGGCCUGACCGCAGCAGACGUGCCCCACGUACAACGCCCACACAUGGGUCGCACUCUCUGGCCCCGAGAAACCCACACCUCGAGGACACACACAGGCUCUGCUCCUCUCUGUGAUGCUGGGCCCGUCAGACCAGUGGUUCUCAACUCAGGAUGAUUCUGGUCUCCUCUCCCCCUAUGCCAGAGGAUGUUCAGCAAUGUCCAGACGUUUCUGGUCAUUAUACUUAGGGGAGGACGGGGGAGUCGCUACUGGCUGGCGGCUGGAGGCCAGAGCUCUGCUCCGUGCCCUGCAGUGCAUGGGAUGGCCCCACCACGGAGAAUGACGUGGCCCCAAAUGUCAACAGUGCCCGGAUUGAGAAACUGCUUUAAACCAUGAGGACCGCGGGAGCUAGGGCAACCCCUCCAGAGAAACGGCAGGAGACGGAGACCGAGGAGGCUCGAAGUCUGGGGCCUCUGCCUUCCUUCCACCACACCUGUGGGCUCUGCGGCCGAGUUAGCCGCAGCCCAGCUCCUCACCUCCACUCCCUCCUUUGGCCCGGCCUGCCCUCCUCCGGAAGAUCAGGAGGUAGCGCCUCCCACGGCAGGGGAAGCAGAGGGAGGCUCGCCAGGUACACCGAGAGGGAAAAAGAGGCGCCAGCCGCCCCGCUCCGGGUUGGCCCUGCAGCACCCAUACCUGCAUCCACAUCGUUGGGCCACCCACUGGACUGGCUGCUGCCAGCUGCUGGGGAGCGGCCUGUGCCAGGAUAGAAGACAUCAUCGACGGGGCUCUCCAUCUCGCUGUCAUCGAUGGACUUGGGGCGCUUGGUGGUGCUGGGGAAGAGGAUCAGGCGGGACAAGGCAAGAUUGACGUACCGGCACCCGAACUGCUCCCCGGUUCGCGCCCGGUGACCCGCCGGGUGGGGAGCGGGCGCCUGAUGACAGCAGCAUUUCCAAGCACUCGCUACGUGCCUUCCCCUGAGACCAGACGGGCCCUAGAGUCCCUCGGGACCCCGCAGGUCUGCUCCUCUUCCUCGAACCCCUUCUCAGCCCGUGAUACCUUCAUCCGCAAAACCCCCCUCAACUGCUUCUGUGGUCCCACCUUCUAUUUCCCAUCAGCCCCCAGGGCCAGGGCAAGUCGAGAGGCACUCGCCAGGGACAAAAAUGCCAAGGGGUGCUACGGAAUUCAGACAUCAGGAUACUGUGUUCUUUUAUGUUAAAAUAUCACUGAUACGAAAACAUUAUAACAUCAUAGUGCGAUACUUUAACAAAUAAAAAUAAAUUCCCAAAACCUCA